AGAUUUCUCUUGUGACUGCUUUUAAGGAAAAAUAAAGAAGGGGUAAAGGAUAGUAGUAGCAAAAGCAAGGGCUUAUAUUCCAGCCUUUGUGGUACAAUUGAGAUGUGAUUCUGCCUCCACAGCUGGGAAAGGGAUUCUGACAGGACAGUAUUAGGAGAAGUAACAACAGGAACAUGUAGAAAUUCCAGCUGGAGCUGGGACUCAUUGUAGGUGUUCACUGUAUCCAUGGUGUCCUCCAUGAAAAGAUUUGCAGACAAACCAGAUGAGGACACAGUUUCACACUGAAGUUGUCUGAAGACAGAAAUCAUUUCAACAUUAGUAGAUCCUCUUUCCAGUCCCAGUUCUUGAACCUUGGUUAGAAUACAAAAAAAAAAAUACAUUCUACUUCUUAACCCCAAAAAACAUUAAUUCAAGCUAAAGGAAAAUUAGCAAUUUUUUUCCUUCACAGCUGCUAUCUUCUUACUCAAUCAGACAGCUUUGCCAUUCCAGUCCAUUGGGCUUAUUAUAUUUAUUUUUUUCCUCAGAUUCAUUCAUUAUCACAAGUAACCUCAUGUUUACCUCUCAAUGAACACAAAACAAGCUGUCAGAAUACCUGGGGAAAAUGAAUGCUCUGGAACUACAGUGCUCCUGGUGAAAUCUUUGCUGGGGCUGUAUUUACUAUUUUGUGGGGCAAGGAAGUGGAAAAAGCAAACCACUCCUAUAAGUCUUCAUUUACUUAUCUGUCACAUGAGUUUGUACCGAAAAUAAAAUGAUGAUAGUAUUUAAUGCUGGUAAACCAAAUUUUUAGCUGAUGCAAAUAGUCAUAAAUUCUGACUCUUGCACAGCUUCCUUAGCAGUUAACAUACAUGUCAAAGUCAGACCACCUGUGAGCUCAUAUUUUUGUGCUGACUUAAAUUCAUCUGUGCUAUAUUUGACCUUAGGUGAAACACCAAGAAAGAAGGAAAUUCACCACCACCAGGUCAAAACCUCUGGCUCUGCAACAUAUCCUAUCACUAUUCAAUUUUCUAUGCUAUUCACCUUUAUGCAUCAGGCUUACUCUU